rnacentral:rRNA from 1 species
GACGAACGCUGGCGGCGUGCUUAACACAUGCAAGUCGAGCGGAGCGGCGGACGGGUGAGUAACGCGUGAGUAACUGCCCCCCUCUCUGGGAGAGCAGUUGGAAACGGAUGCUAAUACCGGAUAGUGGGGGAUGACUCGCGUCCUAUCAGUUGGUUGGUGGGGUAGUGGCCUACCAAGGCGACGACGGGUAGGCGGCCUGGGAGGGGGACCGGCCACAUGGGGCUGAGAUACGGACCAAAUUCCUACGGGAGGCAGCGGUGGGGAAUAUGGCACAAUGGGGGAAACCCUGAUGCAGCGACGUCGCGUGCGGGAUGACGGCCUUCGGGUUGUAAACCGCUUUCAGCCAUGACGCGGUAGUGGCAGAAGAAGCACCGGCUAACUACGUGCCAGCCGCCGCGGUAAUAC